UAUUGGACAAUGGGGGGAACCCUGAUCCAGCGACGCCGCGUGAGUGAAGAAGGUCUUCGGAUCGUAAAGCUCUGUUGUUAGGGAAGAACAAGUAUCGGAGGAAAUGCCGGUACCUUGACGGUACCUGACGAGAAAGGCACGGCUAACUACGUGCCAGCAGCCGCGGUAAUACGUAGGUGGCAAGCGUUGUCCGGAAUUAUUGGGCGUAAAGCGCGCGCAGGCGGUCCUUUAAGUCUGAUGUGAAAUCUUGCGGCUCAACCGCAAGCGGUCAUUGGAAACUGGGGGACUUGAGUGCAGAAGAGGAAAGCGGAAUUCCACGUGUAGCGGUGAAAUGCGUAGAGAUGUGGAGGAACACCAGUGGCGAAGGCGGCUUUCUGGUCUGUAACUGACGCUGAGGCGCGAAAGCGUGGGGAGCAAACAGG
rnacentral:rRNA from 1 species